GCAGACACUUGCGUUUAGGUUCAGUGCUCUUAGAUGGAGGAGUGUGAAUACCAAUCAGAGGCCUGACCUUCCAACAGUCAUUUAUCAAACGUCUUCCUCGAUCAGGGUCAAGAGCUGCGUGCUCCCGGUCUCUUCCUUAGGGGGAUUAGAGAAGAGUUAUGACCGAAAGGUUAAAGUAAAAGAGAGACCAAAGUGGAGGAGAGUUGCUCUGACCAUAUUUCUCCAGAGCUGCUGAGACCCAAUACUGUUUUCCUCAAUUUCUUGUAAACGAUUCCAAUCUUAUCUGACCUUUUUACCUUGUAAUCAAAUUGCUGUUGCCAUCCAGAUGCAGUUCUGGAAAAGCAGAUAACCCAUCUGUGUCCUUGCACACCAAUUUGUGGGGAUGUCCUGGCCACUCUCUGCUUUUUCAAUCAUGUCAAGUGUUUUUCCUGGGCACAGCUCUGUGUCUGGCCAACUACUUGGCCUGUGGUCACUCUAAAUUGAAAAGUCUGCUCAUGUAAAAUGAAUGGCUCUAAGUUCUCAGCCAGGAUACUUUUUGAUUUGAGGAGAAAAAAUAGACGUGAUGUGUAAUCUUCUCAAAGUGUUGAUAUGUUUUCACAGGCUUUAAGAGCGCCUGCUCUGACGGUGUGGUAACAGAUUGGAAAAUAAUUUUCAAUCCACACUUUAGACUCUCCCUUGGAUACCUAUCUAUGAGCUUUUGACAGGGUAACAAAUGGCUUUUAUAUUAUUGUAUUGAUGAUUGAACUAUAAUAAUGGACGAGGUUGAGAGAUAUAUAAAGGCCUGAUAUCCACUGGAAACCAAUCGGACAAGAGUUUUAACAAUAGGCAACGUUCUAAAUUGAAGUGUAUCCUAUGUGGCUUUUAGCAAUCAGAGAAUCCUGGAAAAUUUGGGACUUCAGGCAACACAGCAGUGCAACUUAACGGUGCUUUAUGGCUCCAUUGGGGAUCGAAGUGAAAACAUCUUCCACUUCAGAACAGUCAAGCAAUUUCAUUUCUGGCUGAAGGUCUGGGAUUAGAUGAGUCAGAAGCUUAGAUUUCACUUAACGUCCAUUCCCCUCAUAAGUACUGUGAAAUGCACUUUCAGUCUGUGGAUAAUAUCCCCGCUGCCAGGGCUGAAAACCUCCAUCCCAAACGAGGGUUUAAACAAUUAAACAACACAGUAGUGACUGUGAGAAGUUGUGCACUGAAGCAGCAGAUCACCGAGUCUGCUGGCUUCCACAUCUGCUUCUUCUCCAGCUUGGUUUCUGAGGUUAAACCAUAAAUGCAUCAAUGUGGGAUAGUCUUCACGAGGUGCCUUUUCAUCAUAGCUUUAGACCUUGAAGCUUUGAACUGAUGCUCUAAUGAUUUUUCCUUUAUGGACCUGGGUGAAAUGACUUUUAAACAUUGAACACAUAACGUAAUGAAUUUGCAUAUGAAUGCUUUCUGUGAAAAGUGAUGAAAAAUAUGGCUAUAUGGGGUUUAUGUACUGGCAAGCAAUAGACAUUACAACCAACAAGAUCCAGUGUGGAAAUAACUUCCAAGUUGUACAAACCAAGAGGGACUGUUUGUGGCUGUUACUUCAGAUUCGACUCAAGUUAGAUGAGUCAUAAUGUGACCGUGUUAGAAAGACAACGAUUAGUCAUCUCUAACCACUUAUGUACUGUAAUUAGUUUUUUUGUUUUUUGCUUAACAACGUCAUAGAAAUAUACAGAUGCUUGCGAGGGAUUUCAACAGUUUAUCUUUUCAUUCUUCUGGGCUGAUUUGCAAGUACAUUUUAGCAAAUUCUCAGCAAGUUUGACUUGAAACUGUCAUUUUGGGUAGUUUGAAGGGGCUAUCUCUGGUUAGCUUGUUUUCUUUGUUUGCUAUUCACCAAAUUGCACAUCUUUUAAAUGCCAUUGGUGAACAUUUAAUACCAAUAUCCAUGCUUUUGAGUGGUGUAUCAAAAUGUUCAGUUUUCUGUGUCAUGCCCAAGUAUGCGAAGGGGCAAUAAAAGCCGUCAUAUUUUUCCAACAGUGAUUUCAGAAAUUUUCAGUGAAAGCUGCCUGAAGCCCUCACUGUGAUCUGGCCUUAGCUUUACUGCUCUCAUCUGUUUCCAAAUCCCCGAUAAGCUCCAUUUUGUUAAUGUCCAACUAAUGAAACCCACAGACAAGGCUAACUAGAAACAGGAGAAUAAAUCAGUGCCUGAAGUGAGUAAAAAUUAAUGCUUCUUGAUUUUAAACAGGUAAUUUUCUCUGUUGUAAUCUGUUCUUCAUUUCUGUCAAGUGAUAAAAAGUGUUUUUUUUUUACCUCUAACAUGCGGGGUCAUGUGGUUUAUAGCAAGAUGCCCCCAAGCUAGCAUAUGGUUUUAAGUUAUAAACUGCAACAUCUCACCAAGCCUUAACCUUGGUUCUCCCAAUGAUGCCCUUUUUCUCAUUGCACUGCUUAUGCUAAUCUUUAGCCAGUGUAUAUUAGUCAAUUUCUUUAAGGCUCUUCGUGUACAUUGAUAGUUAAGUUGUAUUUCCCAAAAGAAUUGAUUGGUAAUCUAUAUUUUCAGUUUUGCUAAACUCAUGUAACCAUUUUACUUUUCAACCUGUCUGUUUUGCUUGCUUACAAACAGCAAGAACACAAAGUCAGUCUUCGUUUUAUCAAGGCUGCCUGACUUUUAAGCCACUGUCAAUUUAAACUUUCACCUUAGUUUUACGACAACAAACGGAACUUAAAAAGCCGUAGAUGUUACGGUCACUGUUAUUAAAAAUUGUGUUUAGGCUGCUGAAGUAAUAAUAAAUGUUUGAAUUGGAGAUUAAGGUUAGAUGUAGGCUAAGGAAGCAAAAAAAAACAAAAAA